UACGGAGGGUGCGAGCGUUGUUCGGAAUCACUGGGCGGAAAGGGCGUGUAGGCGGUCCGCUAAGUCUGAUGUGAAAGCCCGGGGCUCACCCCCGGAAGGGCAUUGGAAACUGACGGACUCGAGUCCCGAAGAGGAGGGUGGAAUUCCUGGUGUAGCGGUGAAAUGCGUAGAUAUCAGGAGGAACACCGGUGGCGAAGACGGCCCUCUGGACGGUGACUGACGCUGAGACGCGAAAGCGUGGGGAGCAAACAGG
rnacentral:rRNA from 1 species